GUAAAAGAAGAAGUUUAAUUAAGUCAGUUUUAUUAUCACGUUUAAGUUAGUGGGAUUAAGGGUCAGUUUAUUUAUCCCAUUUAAGUUAGUGGGGUUAGGUAGUUUAUAAGUUUUAAAAGAACAGACAACAACUUACGUUAGUUCAUUCAUCAGAUUCAAACAACAGACAGUCAGAAAAGCUUAAUAUCAGGGAAGAAGAAAGACAGAGGAGAGGGAAAGAGAUUGCUGAUUAAGGCUACUAAGAGGAUUUUCGGAUUUGCUACUUGAAAGUAAAAUUUACGAGAUCAUGUUGUGAUUUGGUCAACCACGCGAAAAUUUUGAAGAGUGAUGUUUAAUUUAGUAGCACUUAAAUUAUCUAGGAUUUAUUUAAAUAUUAUGAACAUCGAACUAUCUUAAUUAGUAUUCAGACUUUUAUCUUGACUUAGUA